UGGAGGAAACAUGUCUCAGCGAUUUAGAACUGGAUAUCAGAGGGGCCAAGUAAUAAUUUAAGUUGGGCAAUGAUUUUGAAGUUACUUUAAUUUCAAAUUUAUUUUGUUUCUUCCAACAGCACAGUAGGAUUCUUUGCCAAUGGCAGCAGUUGAUGUUUUUUGGCAAACUACCCAAACGCAAACUCAGUGUGCAGAAUGCCAGGCAAAGGCAAGUAAAAACAGUAAGAGCAAAAAUAAUGAAAAUAGCUUACUUAAGCAAUUAGUACUCAAGACCCGUAUUUGAUUUUAUGGUACUGAUGGGCUAAUGAGUUAGUCUGUUACUGUUUCGUGGAUGCUGACAAAAGUCCCAGAAUCCCUGGGUGGGAGACAACGGGACUGUUAUGACACAGGAAGUAACAUGAGCUUCAGCACGUUUGUGUCAAUUCCUCUUCCCCCCAAGUCUAUGGGAAUGACACCAAUGGCUCAGAUGAAUGCUGUGCAUUUAUUUGGUGGAUUUACACCACAGCUGAGAAACACUGAGCUUGGGGAACCUGCCAUUUUAUAGGGAAGCAGUGAGCAAACCUGUUCUUUGUGCUGGAGGGAGACAUUACUUCAUUCCUUAAAGUUGUUCAUUAUAAACACAACCCUGGGGAAUGACCCUGGUAAAGAGCAGUCAGAGUCUUGAAUUUUUGGCAUACCCAGGAAGAUGGGUAGAAGCAUGACAGACUCCUGAAGGCCUGUCUCUCAACAUUACGGUGUGUCAAACACUUCUAAGCGCUUUACAUCUAUAAUCUCAUUUAAUCUUCACAACCCUGUAAUGUGCCCUAUUUAUAGAUGAAUAAACAGGCAGAGAGAGGCCGCAAAGCUAAUGAACAAUCCAGGAGAGGGGCACCUGGGUGGCUCAGUCAGUUGGGUGUUGACUCUUGAUUUCAGCUCAGGUCAUGAUCUCAUGGUUGGUGGGAUCAAGCCCCACGUCAGGCUCCAUGCUGACAUGUGGAACCUGCUUGAGAUUCUCUUUCUCCCCCCUCCCCACCCUUCUCCCACUCGUUGUCUCUCUCUCUCAAAAAUAAAUGAAUAAACUUAAAAAAAAAGACAAUCCAAGAGAAGCAACAGGAAUGCAUAGUUAAAAAAAAAAAAACAGUAAAAGUUAACUUGCAGAGAGAGAUCUGAUGACUCAUAAAAGCAACAGGUGGGCACCUGGGUGGCUCAGUUGGUUAAGUGUCCAACUUUGGCUGGAGUCAUGAUCUCCUGGUUGGUGGGUUUGAGCCCCACAUCAGGCUCUGUGCUGACAGUUCAGAGCCUGGAGCCUCCUGUGUCUCCCUCUCUCUCUGCCCCUUCCUCUUCCUCUCCCUCUCUCUCUCUCUCAAAAAUAAGUAAACAUUAAAAAAGAUUAAAAAAAAAAAAAAGCAACAGGCAACCCCCUGUAAGAAUUUGUGGACUGUGUACAGGUUUCCAGUAGUUGCUCAGGAUGUGGGGGAGGGGAAUAGUGGAAUAAUUAAGACAUUGCAAAACUGUGGGAUAAGGAUUCAGUUAUUAGAACAUAAAAGUUAGGGGCGCCUGGGUGGCUCAGUCGGUUGAGCAUCCGACUUUGGCUCAGGUCAUGAUCUUGUGGCCUGUGAGUUCGAGCCCCGCGUGGAGCUCUGUGCUGACAGCUCAGAGCCUGGAGCCUGUUUCAGAUUCUGUGUCUCCCUCUCUCUCUGACCCUCCUCCGUUCAUGAUCUGUCUCUCUCUGUCUCAAAAAAUAAACGUUAAAAAAAAUUUUUUAAAGAACAUAAAAGUUAGUAUGACCUUAUUUUAUAACCAAGUUAAUGAAAAAGAGUGUCAAUAGUUACACAACUAUUACAGCAACACAGCAUUACAAAGCUGCCAUGUUGUGAUUAGAGAGUUCUAGACUCUCUAAUAGUGGCUAGGGAUACAAAGAUAAGUAAGAUGGUAUCUAAACUCCAUGAAGGGCAAUAUGACAUGGUGCAACUCACAAAUGCACACACGCUUUGAUCUGGCAAGUCCACUUCUAGGAAUUCAUUCUAAGGUCCAACUUCUACAUGUGUGAAGUGACAUUUUUGUGAAGAUAGUCAUUGCAGUAUUAUCUGUAUUUGCAAAAGACUGGAAAUAACCUAAUGUUUAUGUGUUAACUUAGGAUACAACCACAAUGGAAAAUUGAAAACUGUAAAUAAAGAAUAAGGAAGCUCCUUAGGUACUGAAAUGAUCUGGUGGAUACAGUACAUAAGUGGAAACAAGGAGACUGGGAUCAGAGAGUCUCCUGCUGGCUCUGAGGAAGAAAGCUGCCAUGUUGUGAUUUGCUUAUGGAGAAGACCCAUGGCAGGGAGCAGCAGGGGCCUCUGGGAGCUGAGACUCGCCCCUAGCUGACAGCAAGAAAACAGGACCCUCAGUCCGGUGUCUGCAAGAAAUUCUGCCAAUGCCUGCAUCAGCUUGGGAGAAGAUCCUGGGCUCCAGUAAGAAACAGAGCCACGCCAGCAUCUUGACUGCAGGCUUGUGAGAUGCCACAGGGGACUUGGCUAAGUUGAACCCAGACUCCUCACCCACAAAAACUAUGAAAUAACAAAUGUGUGUUGUUUUAA